AAAAAUUUACCCCAAAUUUGCCGAAAUUUGACCGAAAUUUGACCGAAAUUUGACCCAAAUCGGGCGAAUUUUGCUUCCGGAAAGGGGAGGGGGCGUGGCUUAAGCAAAGGGGCGUGGCUUUGGGCUGGUUUGGAGGGACCCCCCCAAAAAAUAAAAAAAAACCAAAAAUUGUCUUUUUUGGGGGGAUUUCCCAAAAAUUGGGUGACCCCUCCCCCCCAGGGGUCCCCUCGGCUGCCUCCUCCCCCACCAUGGCCGAGGAUCUGGAGCCGCUCCUGGGGGGAGAAGGAUUCCUGGAUUUAUGGAACAUGCUCCCCAAUAGCAUCAAUUCCUUGCCCGAGGAUCUGCUGGAAUGGCAGCAGCUGAGCCCCCCCGAGCCCCCCGAGGGGGCGGGGCCAGCGGAGGGGGCGGGGC